CGACUCCUACGGGAGGCAGCAGUGAGGAAUAUUGGUCAAUGGGCGAGAGCCUGAACCAGCCAAGUAGCGUGCGGGAUGAAGGCCCUUGUGGUCGUAAACCGCUUUUAUCAGUGAAUAAAGUGCAUCACGUGUGGUGUCAUUGCAGGUAGCUGAAGAAAAAGGACCGGCUAAUUCCGUGCCAGCAGCCGCGGUAAUACGGAAGGUCCGGGCGUUAUCCGGAAUUAUUGGGUUUAAAGGGAGCGCAGGCGGGAGUAUAAGUCAGCUGUUAAAUAUCAGAGCCCAACUCUGUUAUGCAGUUGAAACUAUAUUUCUUGAGUACGCACAGGGAUGGCGGAAUUCAGGGUGUAGCGGUGAAAUGCUUAGAUAUCCUGAAGAACUCCGAUCGCGAAGGCAGCCAUCCGGAGCGUAACUGACGCUGAGGCUCGAAGGUGCGGGUAUCGAACAGGAUUAGAUACCCUGGUAGUCCGCACGGUAAACGAUGAAUACUCGCAGUUCGGCCGUUUAGGUCGAGUUGUCCAGCGAAAGCGUUAAGUAUUCCACCUGGGGAGUACGCCGGCAACGGUGAAACUCAAAGGAAUUGACGGGGGCCCGCACAAGAAGGGCG
rnacentral:rRNA from 1 species